rnacentral:rRNA from 1 species
CAGCCGCCGCGGUAAAACGUAGGGUGCAAGCGUUAAUCGGAAUUACUGGGCGUAAAGCGCACGCAGGCGGUCUGUCAAGUCAGAUGUGAAAUCCCCGGGCUUAACCUGGGAACUGCAUUUGAAACUGGCAGGCUAGAGUCUUGUAGAGGGGGGUAGAAUUCCAGGUGUAGUGGUGAAAUGCGUAGAGAUCUGGAGGAAUACCGGUGGCGAAGGCGGCCCCCUGGACAAAGACUGACGCUCAGGUGCGAAAGCGUGGGGAGCAAACAGGAUUAGAUACCCCGGUAGUCCCUGUCUCUUAUAC